ACAGCUAGGAUGUUGGCUUAGAAGCAGCCAUCAUUUAAAGAAAGCGUAAUAGCUCACUAGUCGAGUCGGCCUGCGCGGAAGAUGUAACGGGGCUAAAACUAUGCACCGAAGCUGCGGCAGUGCACGUAAGUGUAUUGGGUAGGGGAGCGUUCUGUAAGCCGUAGAAGGUAUGUUGUGAGGCAUGCUGGAGGUAUCAGAAGUGCGAAUGCUGACAUAAGUAACGAUAAAGCGGGUGAAAAGCCCGCUCGCUGGAAGACCAAGGGUUCCUGUCCAACGUUAAUCGGGGCAGGGUGAGUCGACCCCUAAGGAGAGGCCGAAGGGCGUAUCUGAUGGGAAACGGGUUAAUAUUCCCGUACUGGCUAUAACUGCGAUGGGGGGACGAAGAAGGCUAGGUUUACCACCUAUUGGAUGGUGGGUUAAGCGUGUAGGGGUGUGAUUAGGCAAAUCCGGUCACUGAGACCCUGAGGCGUGAUGACGAGCUACUAAGGUAGUGAAGUAAUUGAUGCCCUGCUUCCAGGAAAAUCCUCUAAGCUUCAGGUUAUAGUUAAUCGUACCCGAAACCGACACAGGUGGUCAGGUAGAGAAUACUCAGGCGCUUGAGAGAACUCGGGUGAAGGAACUAGGCAAAAUGGUGCCGUAACUUCGGGAGAAGGCACGCUGAUGGUAAUUGAAAUCCCGCGCGGAUGUAGGUGAAGUCAGUCGAAGAUACCAGCUGGCUGCAACUGUUUAAUAAAAACACAGCACUGUGCAAACACGAAAGUGGACGUAUACGGUGUGACGCCUGCCCGGUGCUGGAAGGUUAAUUGAUGGGGUUAUGCGUAAGCAGAAGCUCUUGAUCGAAGCCCCAGUAAACGGCGGCCGUAACUAUAACGGUCCUAAGGUAGCGAAAUUCCUUGUCGGGUAAGUUCCGACCUGCACGAAUGGCGUAAUGAUGGCCAGGCUGUCUCCACCCGAGACUCAGUGAAAUUGAAAUCGCCGUGAAGAUGCGGUGUACCCGUGGCAAGACGGAAAGACCC
rnacentral:rRNA from 1 species